rnacentral:rRNA from 1 species
GAACUUAAGCAUAUCAAUAAGCGGAGGAAAAGAAACCAACUGGGAUUGCCUCAGUAACGGCGAGUGAAGCGGCAUCAGCUCAGAUUUGAAAUCUGGUUCUUUCAGAGCCCGAGUUGUAAUCUGUAGAGGAGUCUUCGGGUUUGGAUCUGGCCUAAGUUUCUUGGAACAGAACGUCAUAGAGGGUGAGAGUCCCGUAUGAGGCCAGCUACCUAUUCCCAUGUGAAGCUUCUUCGACGAGUCGAGUUGUUUGGGAAUGCAGCUCAAAAUGGGUGGUAAAUUUCAUCUAAAGCUAAAUAUUGGCGGGAGACCGAUAGCGCACAAGUAGAGUGAUCGAAAGAUGAAAAGCACUUUGAAAAGAGAGUUAAAAAGUACGUGAAAUUGUUGAAAGGGAAACGCUUGCGAUUAGACUUGCGCUCAGGUGAUCAACCGGUGUUCUCACCGGUGCACUCUCCUGCUUGCAGGCCAGCAUCGGUUUGGGCGGUUGGAUAGAGGCCCUAGGAAUGUAGCUGCCUUCGGGCAGUGUUAUAGCCUAGGGUGUAAUGCAGCCAGCCUGGACCGAGGACCGCGCUUCGGCUAGGAUGCUGGCAUAAUGGUCGUAAGCGACCCGUCUUGAAACACGGACCAAGGAGUCUAACAUCUAUGCGAGUGUUUGGGUGGAAAACCCAAGCGCGUAAUGAAAGUGAACGUAGGUGAGAACCCCUAAGGGUGCAUCAUCGACCGAUCUUGAUGUCUUCGGAUGGAUUUGAGUAAGAGCAUAGCUGUUGGGACCCGAAA